rnacentral:rRNA from 1 species
CAUAACGACUCUCGGCAACGGAUAUCUCGGCUCUCGCAUCGAUGAAGAACGUAGCGAAAUGCGAUACUUGGUGUGAAUUGCAGAAUCCCGUGAACCAUCGAGUCUUUGAACGCAAGUUGCGCCCAAAGCCUUCCGGCUGAGGGUACGUCUGCCUGGGCGUCACGCA